rnacentral:rRNA from 1 species
AGCGAACGCUGGCGGCAGGCUUAACACAUGCAAGUCGAACGGGCACUUCGGUGCUAGUGGCAGACGGGUGAGUAACGCGUGGGAACGUGCCUUUCGGUUCGGAAUAAUCCAGGGAAACUUGGACUAAUACCGGAUACGCCCUUCGGGGAAAGAUUAUCGCCGAAAGAUCGGCCCGCGUCUGAUUAGCUAGUUGGUGAGGUAAAGGCUCACCAAGGCGACGAUCAGUAGCUGGUCUGAGAGGAUGAUCAGCCACACUGGGACUGAGACACGGCCCAGACUCCUACGGGAGGCAGCAGUGGGGAAUAUUGGACAAUGGGCGAAAGCCUGAUCCAGCCAUGCCGCGUGAGUGAUGAAGGCCUUAGGGUUGUAAAGCUCUUUGUCCGGGAAGAUAAUGACUGUACCGGAAGAAUAAGCCCCGGCUAACUUCGUGCCAGCAGCCGCGGUAAU